AAUAGAUACCCAGGUAGUCCACGCCGUAAACGAUGAGUGCUAAGUGUUAGGGGGUUUCCGCCCCUUAGUGCUGCAGCUAACGCAUUAAGCACUCCGCCUGGGGAGUACGGUCGCAAGACUGAAACUCAAAGGAAUUGACGGGGGCCCGCACAAGCGGUGGAGCAUGUGGUUUAAUUCGAAGCAACGCGAAGAACCUUACCAGGUCUUGACAUCCCGCUGACCGGCCUAGAGAUAGGCUUUUCCCUUCGGGGACAGCGGUGACAGGUGGUGCAUGGUUGUCGUCAGCUCGUGUCGUGAGAUGUUGGGUUAAGUCCCGCAACGAGCGCAACCCUUGAUCUUAGUUGCCAGCAUUCAGUUGGGGCACUCUAAGGUGACUGCCGGUGAUAAACCGGAGGAAGGUGGGGAUGACGUCAAAUCAUCAUGCCCCUUAUGACCUGGGCUACACACGUGCUACAAUGGACGGUACAGAGGGUCGCAACCCCGCGAGGGUGAGCUAAUCCCAUAAAACCGUUCUCAGUUCGGAUUGUAGG
rnacentral:rRNA from 1 species